rnacentral:rRNA from 1 species
CUUUUAACAACGGAUCUCUUGGUUCUCGCAUCGAUGAAGAACGUAGCAAAGCGCGAUAACUAGUGUGAAUUGCAUAUUCAGUGAAUCAUCGAGUCUUUGAACGCAACUUGCGCUCAUUGGUAUUCCAAUGAGCACGCCUGUUUCAGUAUCAAAACAAACCCUCUAUCCAACUUUUUGUUGAAUAGGAUGACUGAUAGUCUCUUGGAUCUAUUUUGAUCUUGAAUCUCUUGGAAAUGUACGGAGGCCUGAUCUUGUUUGAAUGCCUGAACUUUUUUUUAAUAUAAAGAGAAGCUCUUGCGUAAAACUGUGCUGGGGCCUCCCAAAUAACACUUCUUUUAAAUUUGAUCU